GCAGUCGAACGAGAAUCUGUGGAAAGAGGAUUCGUCCAAUUGAAACAGAGGACAGUGGCGGACGGGUGAGUAACGCGUGAGGAACCUGCCUUUCAGAGGGGGACAACAGUUGGAAACGACUGCUAAUACCGCAUAACACAUUGAGGUCGCAUGGCCUUAAUGUCAAAGAUUUAUCGCUGAAAGAUGGCCUCGCGUCUGAUUAGCUAGUUGGUGAGGUAACGGCCCACCAAGGCGACGAUCAGUAGCCGGACUGAGAGGUUGAACGGCCACAUUGGGACUGAGAUACGGCCCAGACUCCUACGGGAGGCAGCAGUGGGGAAUAUUGGGCAAUGGGCGCAAGCCUGACCCAGCAACGCCGCGUGAAGGAAGAAGGCUUUCGGGUUGUAAACUUCUUUUGUCAGGGACGAGUAGAAGACGGUACCUGACGAAUAAGCCACGGCUAACUACGUGCCAGCAGCCGCGGUAAUACGUAGGUGGCAAGCGUUGUCCAGAUUUACUGGGUGUAAAGGGCGUGUAGCCGGGAGGGCAAGUCAGAUGUGAAAUCCACGGGCUUAACUCGUGAACUGCAUUUGAAACUGUUCUUCUUGAGUAUCGGAGAGGCAAUCGGAAUUCCUAGUGUAGCGGUGAAAUGCGUAGAUAUUAGGAGGAACACCAGUGGCGAAGGCGGAUUGCUGGACGACAACUGACGGUGAGGCGCGAAAGCGUGGGGAGCAAACAGGAUUAGAUACCCUGGUAGUCCACGCUGUAAACGAUGAAUACUAGGUGUGCGGGGACUGACCCCCUGCGCGCCGCAGUUAACACAAUAAGUAUUCCACCUGGGGAG
rnacentral:rRNA from 1 species